CCUACGGGAGGCAGCAGUGGGGAAUAUUGCGCAAUGGGCGAAAGCCUGACGCAGCGACGCCGCGUGAGGGAUGAAGGUCUUCGGAUCGUAAACCUCUGUCAGCAGGGAAGAACGGUCACUGUGCUAAUCAGCAGUGAAUUGACGGUACCUGCAAAGGAAGCACCGGCUAACUCCGUGCCAGCAGCAGCGGUAAUACGGAGGGUGCGAGCGUUAAUCGGAAUUACUGGGCUUAAGGCGCUCGUAGGCGGGAUGUCAAGUCAAGGGGGAAAUCCCCGCGCGCAACGUGGGAACUGCCUUUGAAACUGGCAAACUGGAGUGUGUGAGAGGAUAGUGGAAUUCCUGGUGUAGGGGUGAAAUCCGUAGAUAUCAGGAGGAACAUCAGUGGCGAAGGCGACUAUCUGGCACAUAACUGACGCUGAGGAGCGAAAGCGUGGGUAGCAAACAGGAUUAGAUACCCGAGUAGUC
rnacentral:rRNA from 1 species